GAUGAACGCUGGCGGCGUGCCUAAUACAUGCAAGUCGAGCGAACAGAUGAGGAGCUUGCUCCUCCGACGUUAGCGGCGGACGGGUGAGUAACACGUGGAUAACCUACCUAUAAGACUGGGAUAACUUCGGGAAACCGGAGCUAAUACCGGAUAAUAUAUUGAACCGCAUGGUUCAAUAGUGAAAGACGGUUUUGCUGUCACUUAUAGAUGGAUCCGCGCCGCAUUAGCUAGUUGGUAAGGUAACGGCUUACCAAGGCAACGAUGCGUAGCCGACCUGAGAGGGUGAUCGGCCACACUGGAACUGAGACACGGUCCAGACUCCUACGGGAGGCAGCAGUAGGGAAUCUUCCGCAAAGGGCGAAAGCCUGACGGAGCAACGCCGCGUGAGUGAUGAAGGUCUUCGGAUCGUAAAACUCUGUUAUUAGGGAAGAACAAAUGUGUAAGUAACUAUGCACGUCUUGACGGUACCUAAUCAGAAAGCCACGGCUAACUACGUG
rnacentral:rRNA from 1 species